rnacentral:rRNA from 1 species
AUUGAACGCUGGCGGCAGGCCUAACACAUGCAAGUCGAGCGGAGCGGCGGACGGGUGAGUAAUGCUUAGGAAUCUGCCUGGUAGUGGGGGAUAACGUACGGAAACGGGCGCUAAUACCGCAUACUAUCAGAUGAGCCUAGGUCGGGUUAGCUAGGUGGUGGGGUAAAGGCCUACCAAGGCGAGGAUCGGAAACGGGUCUGAGGGGAGGAUCAGUCACACGGGAACUGGUACACGGUCCAGACUCCUAGGGGAGGCAGCAGUGGGGAAUAUUGGACAAGGGGCGAAAGCCUGAUCCAGCAAUGCGGCGUGGUGGAAGAAGGUCUUCGGAUUGUAAAGCACUUUAAGUUGGGAGGCGUUACCAACAGAAUAAGCACCGGCUAACUUCGUGCCAGCAGCCGCGGUAAUAC